rnacentral:pre_miRNA from 1 species
ACGCCCCCGUGUGGCGGAAGGCCGCGGAGGGCAAGAUGGCGGCGGGUCGAGCGCCGCCUCUUCCGCCCUGCCGGUGUCGCACGAGGC